AUUGAACGCUGGCGGCAUGCUUUACACAUGCAAGUCGAACGGUAACAGGUUAAGCUGACGAGUGGCGAACGGGUGAGUAAUGCAUCGGAACGUGCCCGAUCGUGGGGGAUAACGUAGCGAAAGUUACGCUAAUACCGCAUACGAUCUGAGGAUGAAAGCGGGGGACCGUAAGGCCUCGCGCGAUCGGAGCGGCCGAUGUCAGAUUAGGUAGUUGGUGGGGUAAAGGUCCACCAAGCCGACGAUCUGUAGCUGGUCUGAGAGGACGACCAGCCACACUGGGACUGAGACACGGCCCAGACUCCUACGGGAGGCAGCAGUGGGGAAUUUUGGACAAUGGGCGCAAGCCUGAUCCAGCAAUGCCGCGUGCAGGAAGAAGGCCUUCGGGUUGUAAACUGCUUUUGUACGGAGCGAAAAGGCUCUCUCUAAUACAGGGGGCUCAUGACGGUACCGUAAGAAUAAGCACCUGCUAACUACGUGCCAGCAGCCGCAGUAAAAC
rnacentral:rRNA from 1 species